rnacentral:rRNA from 1 species
UACGUAGGAGGCAAACGUUGCUCGGAUUUACUGGGCGUAAAGGGUGAGUAGGCGGAACUAUAAGUCUAAGGUGAAAUAUCGAAGCUCAACUUCGGAGACGCCUCGGAUACUGUGGUUCUUGGAUAUUGUAGGGGAUGAUGGAAUUCUCGGUGUAGCGGUGGAAUGUAUAGAUAUCGAGAAGAACACCUAUAGCGAAGGCAGUCAUCUGGGCAUUUAUCGACGCUGAAUCACGAAAGCUGGGGGAGCAAAC